rnacentral:rRNA from 1 species
GCUAGCGGCAGGCCUAACACAUGCAAGUCGAGGGGUAACAUAGAAGAGCUUGCUCUUUUGAUGACGACCGGCGCACGGGUGAGUAACGCGUAUACAAUCUGCCUUGUACAGGAGUAUAGCCCAGGGAAACUUGGAUUAAUCCUCCAUAGUCUAUAUAAAUAGCAUUAUUAAUAUAGUAAAGAUUUAUCGGUACAAGAUGAGUAUGCGUCCUAUUAGUUAGUUGGUAAGGUAACGGCUUACCAAGACAGCGAUAGGUAGGGGCCCUGAGAGGGGGAUCCCCCACACUGGUACUGAGACACGGACCAGACUCCUACGGGAGGCAGCAGUGAGGAAUAUUGGACAAUGGGUGAGAGCCUGAUCCAGCCAUGCCGCGUGCAGGAAGACGGCCCUAUGGGUUGUAAACUGCUUUUAUACGGGAAGAAACCUCCCCUCGUGAGGGGAGCUGACGGUACCGUAAGAAUAAGGACCGGCUAACUCCGUGCCAGCAGCCGCGGUAAUACGGAGGGUCCGAGCGUUAUCCGGAAUCAUUGGGUUUAAAGGGUCCGUAGGCGGGCAGCUCAGUCAGUGGUGAAAGUUUGCGGCUUAACCGUAAAAUUGCCAUUGAUACUGGUUGUCUUGAAUUGGUGUGAAGUGGUUAGAAUGAGUAGUGUAGCGGUGAAAUGCAUAGAUAUUACUCAGAAUACCGAUUGCGAAGGCAGAUCACUAACACUAUAUUGACGCUGAGGGACGAAAGCGUGGGGAGCGAACAGGAUUAGAUACCCUGGUAGUCCACGCCGUAAACGAUGGUUACUAGCUGUUGGACCGAUUGAGGUUCAGUGGCCAAGCGAAAGUGAUAA